ACAGUAACUGCCAGUUGCCUGUUACUGAUAAGGCUUCAAGUUGCACUUGAUGGCAGCUUUUGAACUUUCUACACACAUCUGGCUGAGCAGAAUUCACUUGGACUGAAGUUGUCUGAAGAAAACCCUGCAUGGCAAGAAGGUACACUUGCAGCCUGUUGUGAUCCCCAGCUUACUUAUGUGCUCAAUGCAAUUCCUAUACUUCAUGCUGUAAAAUGCUAGAGAAAAACGUGAUGACAGACUAAACAGACAACACUGAAAAGCAAUAACUCGAGUGGAAAACUACUGGUCUGGGAGUAAAAUCAGGCUAAAUCAGACAAUAGAUUUAAAGAGCAAUAGUUUGGGCUGCAGUGACAUCCCGUCACAGAUUAGAAAGAUUAGACAGGAAAAAUCUGUUAUGCCAGAAGGAAGAAGUAAGACUUAAAACACACGACAGAGUAAAACUGAAAGCCAGGAAAUCAAACUGACCAAACUGCAGGCCCAGCAGGACAGAUGGUACCAGAAAAUAAGUGCUCUCCCAACUUAGGCUGUAGAGUAAUUAAAGGAAACAGCAAGGUAUGUUUAGCAUUUCUCCCUCUCUAUUUGACUGUCUAAAAACUUCAGCGUGUUUAGAACCGUAUGGUGAGAG